AUAUUGGACAUCAUUACCAAAUGGAGAACAGUCAUUGACUGGAAGAAACAAGAGAAUUGAAAAACUUCAGCUUCACUAAGGAAUAGAAGAAACAGGUCACACGUAAUUGAGGGACACAAGGGGAAUACCACUAGACUCAGAAAAGGCCACUUGAAGGAUCCAUUUUACGAGCAGUACAAAAUAUACUACAAUGCAGAAGAAUGGAUUGAACACCAUUUCCAAAACGGAGUGUAGACUCUCCAGAAGAAGAAACUGGAGAAAAAGGAUCAAUAUAAGCUACAGUAUUGAAGAGGGCGAGUUUUGCUGAAUUCAACCUGCAGUAAAGAGCAUUGUCCCCGAUCAACUACUGCCUACCUCAGAACAAUAGGAUGUUGAGUAGCUGGCCAAUGAAAGACGCGAAUCAGUCAAGGAGUCAAGAAAAAGGAUUGGGUUUGUCUUGAAAUCCAGACACGAGUUUCUAUCCUUAACAGGGGCAGGGGCAAUUGAGGAACUCAAGUGGGUGCCUCCAGACAAAGAAAGGUUCUUUCUGAUGAUCCACUAUGCAAAGUGUACUUCAUUGUCCAAAGUGGCAGAGGAGUUUAUUGGACAUCAUUACUAAAGGAGAACAGUCCCUUCACAAGAAGAAACAAGAGAAUUGAAAAACUUCAGCUUCACUAAGGAAAAGAAGAAACAGGUCACAAGUAAUGGAGGGACACAAGGGGGAUACCACUAGACUAAGAAGGGAAAACUUGGAGGAUCCACUUUGCUAACAGUACAAAAUAUACUAUAGUGAAGAAGAAUGGAUUGGACACCAUUUCCAAUUGGAAUGUAGACUCUCCACAAGAAGAAACUGGAGAAAAAGGAUCAACUUAAGCUACAGUAUUGAAGAGGGCGAGUUUUGCUGACUUCAACCUGCAGUAAAGAGUAUUGUCCCUGAUCAAUUGCUGCCUACCUCAGAGCAAAAGCUGGCCAAUGAACGACACGGAUCAGUCAAGGAGUCAAGAAAAAGGUUUGGAUUUGUCUUGAAAUCCAGACAUGAGGGGCAGGGGCAAUGGAGGAACUCAAGUGGAUGCCUACAGACGAAGAAAUGUCCUUUCUGAGGACCCACUAUGCAAAAUGUACAUCAUUCUCCAAAGUGAUUCAUUUCUCCAAUGUUCACAGGCAGAGGAGUUUAUUGGACAUCAUUAC